CGAGGUUGAUCUUGGGUACGUAUACAAAGUCUUUGGUUCUUCCACGGGAUAGUAAGACAACUCCCGUUGCACAAAGAUUGGGAUGUCUUAUGGGAUGGACUGGGUGCCUGAGUACGAGAAAACAGUAACUAUUUCCGCCAGGAGGAUUUGAGGUCCUGGGUGACAGAGAUGCCGAUUAUGGCAAAGAUCCCCACCUUCAGACGAGAGUAGCGACACCCUUACUAUAACCACGCGCUGUUAUUGUCCAGGUUAUCAGUGAAGUUGGGAAUGACACAAAGGCAUCCUUGCUAAA